CGCUGCUCAUUCAACUGGUUAUGAUAGCAAUGUAACAAACAUGCUCAUAACGCCCGGAAUGAUGCCAAAAGAUAAGGUGCCUAUCGUCCAGCAUUAUUGAUAACUGCCCUCGGGCUUUAUCACACAUCGGGCGACACGUUGAGUGAGGCACCGCCUA
rnacentral:sRNA from 1 species